rnacentral:rRNA from 1 species
GUCUAUGGCCAUGCCACCCUGAACAAACCAAUGUCUGAUCUCAGAAGCUAAGCAGGGUCAGGCCUGGUUAGUACUUGGAUGGGAAACCACUUAGGAAGAUCAGGUGCUGUAGGCA